UCCCUGGUGGUCCAGUGACUAAGACUCUUCGCUCCCAAUGCAGGGGCCUGGGUUUGAGUCCUGGUCAGGGAA
rnacentral:tRNA from 1 species